UACGGAGGGUGCGAGCGUUGUCCGGAAUCACUGGGCGUAAAGGGCGCGUAGGUGGCGCGAGGAGUCUGUGGUGAAAGCCCGAGGCUCAACUUCGGGUCGGCCGCGGAUACUCUCGUGCUGGAGGGUGGUAGAGGCCAAUGGAAUUCCGGGUGUAGCGGUGGAAUGCGUAGAUAUCAGGAGGAACACCUGUGGUGUAGACAGCUUACUGGACCAUUUCUGACGCUGAGACACGAAAGCGUGGGUAGCAAACAGG
rnacentral:rRNA from 1 species